rnacentral:lncRNA from 1 species
AGGACCCCAAGAGUCAGAAGCUGAAGUACAAAUGGUGCAAGGUUGGCGUCCUAGAUUAUGACGAAGAGAAGAAGCUAUACCUGGUACACAAGACAGAUAAGAGAGGCCUGGUGCGAGACCAGAUGGGGAAGCCCAUCCUAAAUGGAGGGGUCACCGCCAAAGGUACAAGCUCUGCUUCAGCCCCAGGCAGCCCCCCAGGUUGAGCCCAGCCUGGCCUGUAACUGAGGUCAACCCCACCAAGGGCACUGCCAGCUGAAGUCCACUUUGCUCGGUUUGAUCUGUGGCUGUCUGUCCCAUGACCAGUGAAAACAGAGGACUAGUGGCUCAGAGACCCCAGGAAGGGCAAGUGGCCGUUAUUUGGCAUGUCACCUCUGAGCCACUGGCAGUGUAGCAUGAUGUUGAAAGCAGCCCGAGGCCCAUGAGUUAGCGGUGGGCCACCUCCGUAUAACACCGAGUCUGAGCUCUGCUCCUUCUUACAGUUUACAAAGCACUUCCACAUUCUUCCCUGACACCUUGUUGGGUGGGCAGGGCAGGGAGUACCCUUAUUCCCACUCUAUACCUUCAACAGGGGGCCAGACAAGGGAAAUCACUUGCUCAAGGCCACCAUGCAUCAGUAGCCCAGUGGGCCAGAACCCAGUGCUCUAGCCCAGAGAACCUUACUGUAUGUCCCCUUCUCCCUCCGGCCCCCAGGAAGACCACCCCUCCUGGUCCGUCAGUACUGGGUGCCACGGAUACAGCUUCUCUUCUGUGCAGAGGAUCCUCAUGUGUUCACACAGCGUGUGGUCCAGGCCCACGCGCUGCGAAAGACCACAGAGGCGCUGUUACGGUACAACCUGUACGUGGACUGCAUGCCCUCCAGGGGCCAGCAGCUCAUCAGUGAGCAGAGCCUGAACAAGAUCAAGCAAUGGGCCAUGAACACACCCCGGAUGCACAAGGGUCCCAUGGUCCUCGAGCACCUCAGCAAACUCACCAGAGAAGUGAUCCUGGACUAUGAGCGCAGCAUGAACAAGAUGAGCUUUGACAAGAUCGUCUCCUCCAAACCCGACACAUUCUCCUAUGUGACCCUGCCCAAGAAGGAGGAGGAGACGGUGCCUGAGAAGGGGCUGGUGAGCGUUCCCAUGUACCCCUUCCGGGCACAGAAGGAGGAUUUCACCUUUGUGUCCCUGCUCACACGGCCAGAAGUCAUCACAGCCCUGAGCAAGGUCCGGGCCAAGUGCAACAGUGUGGCCUCCAUGUCGCUGUUCCACUCAACCCUCUCCAAGUAUAGCCGCCUGGAGGAGUUCGAGCAGAUCCAGUUGCAGACCUUGUCUCAGGUGCAGAUGUUCCUCAAGGACAGCUGGAUCAGCACACUAAAGGUGGCAAUGCGCAGCAGCCUGCGCGACAUGAGCAAAGGCUGGUACAACCUCUACGAGGCUAACUGGGAAGUGUACCUCAUGUCGAAGCUGCGCAAGCUGAUGGAGACGAUCAAGUACAUGCUGCAGGACACGCUGCGCUUCCUGGUGCAAGACUCGCUUGCCAGCUUCACACAGUUCAUCAGCGACAUCUGCGGCAGUGUGCGCGACUGCCCCGAAGACAUGGUCUGGGGUGAAGACUUAAUGAACAGCCCCUACAGGCCCAAGAAGAAUGCCCUGUUCAUCAUGGACCUGGUGCUGGACGGCUCAGGGGUGCAUUACAGCACACCGCUGGAGCAGUUUGAGACAUCUUUGCUCAAUAUCUUCGACAAGGGCAUCCUGGCCACCCACUCUGUGCCCCAGUUGGAGAAGCUGGUGAUGGAGGACCUCUUUAUCAGUGGGGACCCCCUGCUGGAGUCGGUGGGCCUUCAUGAGCCGCUGGUGGAGGAGCUUCGGGCCAUCAUAGUUAGUGCUAUGGAUAAGGCCAUGAUCCCACUGCAGGCCUAUGCCAAGGAGUACAGAAAGUACCUGGAGCUAAACAACAGCGACAUUUCCAACUUCCUCGAAGCCUACCAGACGCAGUGCCCAUCGGCCCAGGAGGUUCGAGAAGUGGUGCUCAUCCACCUAAAGGAGAAAGAGGUCCUGGACAACACACUGCCCAGUAGCAUCAUCAUUGGACCCUUCUACAUCAAUGUCGACAAUGUCAAGCAGAACCUGUCCAAGAAGCGAAAGACCCUGGCCACUUCCACGAUGGACAUCCUGGCCAAGAGUCUUCACAAGGAAGUGGACAGGAUCUGUGAAGAGUUCCGCAGCAUCAGCCGAAAGAUCUACGAGAAGCCCAACAGCAUCGAAGAGCUCGCAGAGCUUCGAGACUGGAUGAAGGGCAUCCCCGAAAAGCUGGUGGGGCUGGAGGAGCGGAUUGUGAAGGUCAUGGAUGACUACCAGGUCAUGGACGAGUUCUUUUACAACCUUAGCUCGGAUGACUUCAAUGACAAGUGGGCUGCCAGCUUCUGGCCAUCCAAGAUCCUCAGGCAGAUAGAGAUAGUGCAGCAUCAGCACACUGAGGAUGAGGAGAAGUUCCGCAAAAUCCAGAUCAUGGAUCAGAACAACUUCCAGGAGAAGCUGGAAGGGCUGCAGGUCUGGCCGUGCUUCCUGUGUGUGGGACAUGCUGUGUCAGUGCGAUGGACCAGGGGACAGAUGAGUGAAUGA